rnacentral:rRNA from 1 species
UACAGAGGUCUCAAGCGUUGUUCGGAUUCAUUGGGCGUAAAGGGCGCGUAGGCGGCCGGCCAAGUCGGGUGUGAAAUCCCUCGGCUCAACCGAGGAAUUGCAUCCGAUACUGGCUGGCUGGAGUCCGGGAGGGGAUGGUGGAAUUCCCCAGUGUAGCGGUGAAAUGCGUAGAUAUUGGGAAGAACACCGGUGGCGAAGGCGACCAUCUGGACCGGAACUGACGCUGAGGCGCGAAAGCCAGGGGAGCGAAUGGG